UGGGGAUUAUUGCACAAUGGGGGAAACCCUGAUGCAGCGACGCCGCGUGAGCGAAGAAGGUUUUCGAAUCGUAAAGUUCUGUCCUAUGAGAAGAUAAUGACGGUACCAUAGGAGGAAGCCCCGGCUAAAUACGUGCCAGCAGCCGCGGUAAUACGUAUGGGGCGAGCGUUGUCCGGAAUUAUUGGGCGUAAAGGGUACGUAGGCGGUUUUUUAAGUCAGGUGUCAAAGCGUGGAGCUUAACUCCAUUAAGCACUUGAAACUGAAAGACUUGGGUGAAGGAGAGGAAAGUGGAAUUCCUAGUGUAGCGGUGAAAUGCGUAGAUAUUAGGAGGAAUACCGGUGGCGAAUGCGAGUUUCUGGACUUUUACUGGCGCUCAGGUACGAAAGCGUGGGGAGCAAACAGG
rnacentral:rRNA from 1 species